rnacentral:rRNA from 1 species
UUGGAACGAGCGAGAGAGAGCUUGCUUUCUCAAGCGAGUGGCGAACGGGUGAGUAACGCGUGAGGAACCUGCCUCAAAGAGGGGGACAACAGUUGGAAACGACUGCUAAUACCGCAUAAGCCCACGACCCGGCAUCGGGAAGAGGGAAAAGGAGCAAUCCGCUUUGAGAUGGCCUCGCGUCCGAUUAGCUAGUUGGUGAGGUAACGGCCCACCAAGGCGACGAUCGGUAGCCGGACUGAGAGGUUGAACGGCCACAUUGGGACUGAGACACGGCCCAGACUCCUACGGGAGGCAGCAGUGGGGAAUAUUGCACAAUGGGGGGAACCCUGAUGCAGCGACGCCGCGUGGAGGAAGAAGGUCUUCGGAUUGUAAACUCCUGUUGUUGAGGAAGAUAAUGACGGUACUCAACAAGGAAGUGACGGCUAACUACGUGCCAGCAGCCGCGGUAAAACGUAGGUCACAAGCGUUGUCCGGAAUUACUGGGUGUAAAGGGAGCGCAGGCGGGAAGACAAGUUGGAAGUGAAAUCCAUGGGCUCAACCCAUGAACUGCUUUCAAAACUGUUUUUCUUGAGUAGUGCAGAGGUAGGCGGAAUUCCCGGUGUAGCGGUGGAAUGCGUAGAUAUCGGGAGGAACACCAGUGGCGAAGGCGGCCUACUGGGCACCAACUGACGCUGAGGCUCGAAAGUGUGGGUAGCAAACAGGAUUAGAUACCCUGGUAGUCCACACCGUAAACGAUGAUUACUAGGUGUUGG